CAUCGGGGAUGUAGCUCAGAUGGUAGAGC
rnacentral:sRNA from 1 species